rnacentral:sRNA from 1 species
GCAUGUCCCGACAAGCUGGUGGUGGCAUCUGUUGCUGUAUUGAUUGUCAGGGUUUGUUCAAAAGCUCUGCUCAGCUGAGAGGGUGUCUCCUUUCUCCCCACCUAGUUACAUGUGUCCCCCCUCAGGCUGCAUUCGGCUGAAGACACAGGAGGUCCCAAAUCAAAGUAGCAGCGUUCUUCAGUGCCAGGAUAUUACUAGCAAACUUCCCUGCCAUGGUCAGGGCUGGCUCAACCCACAGAGGUCAGUUUAGGGAGGAGAGGAGGGACUUCUGUCCGGAAGGAGAGAAGUAUCAGAUAAUAAUGCACUAAAGGGAGCGGGUUGUUUGUUU